GGUUAAGCGACUAAGCGUACACGGUGGAUGCCCUGGCAGUCAGAGGCGAUGAAGGGCGUGCUAAUCUGCGAUAAGCGCCGGUAAGGUGAUAUGAACCGUUAUAACCGGCGAUACCCGAAUGGGGAAACCCAGUGUGAUUCGUCACACUAUCAUUAACUGAAUCCAUAGGUUAAUGAGGCGAACCGGGGGAACUGAAACAUCUAAGUACCCCGAGGAAAAGAAAUCAACCGAGAUUCCCCCAGUAGCGGCGAGCGAACGGGGAGGAGCCCAGAGCCUGAAUCAGCAUGUGUGUUAGUGGAAGCGUCUGGAAAGGCGCGCGAUACAGGGUGACAGCCCCGUACACAAAAGCGCAUGUGCUGUGAGCUCGAUGAGUAGGGCGGGACACGUGGUAUCCUGUCUGAAUAUGGGGGGACCAUCCUCCAAGGCUAAAUACUCCUGACUGACCGAUAGUGAACCAGUACCGUGAGGGAAAGGCGAAAAGAACCCCGGCGAGGGGAGUGAAAAAGAACCUGAAACCGUGUACGUACAAGCAGUGGGAGCCCCACCACUAAGCCAGUGGUGAACUCCACAUACGCAUCCUUUGCUGAGGAUACGGUUAACGGAGCGAAAGCGACGUUCAACCGCAAAAGAAGCAGAGGGGGCUUAGUGGUGGGGUGACUGCGUACCUUUUGUAUAAUGGGUCAGCGACUUAUAUUCUGUAGCAAGGUUAACCGUAUAGGGGAGCCGGAGGGAAACCGAGUCUUAACCGGGCGUUAAGUUGCAGGGUAUAGACCCGAAACCCGGUGAUCUAGCCAUGGGCAGGUUGAAGGUUGGGUAACACUAACUGGAGGACCGAACCGACUAAUGUUGAAAAAUUAGCGGAUGACCUGUGGCUGGGGGUGAAAGGCCAAUCAAACCGGGAGAUAGCUGGUUCUCCCCGAAAGCUAUUUAGGUAGCGCCUCGUGAAUUCAUCUCCGGGGGUAGAGCACUGUUUCGGCUAGGGGGCCAUCCCGGCUUACCAACCCGAUGCAAACUGCGAAUACCGGAGAAUGUUAUCACGGGAGACACACGGCGGGUGCUAACGUCCGUCGUGAAGAGGGAAACAACCCAGACCGCCAGCUAAGGUCCCAAAGUCAUGGUUAAGUGGGAAACGAUGUGGGAAGGCCCAGACAGCCAGGAUGUUGGCUUAGAAGCAGCCAUCAUUUAAAGAAAGCGUAAUAGCUCACUGGUCGAGUCGGCCUGCGCGGAAGAUGUAACGGGGCUAAACCAUGCACCGAAGCUGCGGCAGCGAACGUAUCACUUAAAGCGAUUCAGCGGGUUACGAUUGACGGAGCGAAGCGACGUCAAAGCGUAUACAAAGUCGAGUCGGUUUAAGGAUACGUUCGUUGGGUAGGGGAGCGUUCUGUAAGCCUGUGAAGGUGGCCUGUGAGGGUUGCUGGAGGUAUCAGAAGUGCGAAUGCUGACAUAAGUAACGAUAAAGCGGGUGAAAAGCCCGCUCGCCGGAAGACCAAGGGUUCCUGUCCAACGUUAAUCGGGGCAGGGUGAGUCGACCCCUAAGGCGAGGCCGAAAGGCGUAGUCGAUGGGAAACGGGUUAAUAUUCCCGUACUUGGUGUUACUGCGAAGGGGGGACGGAGAAGGCUAUGUUGGCCGGGCGACGGUUGUCCCGGUUUAAGCGUGUAGGUGUGUGUUCCAGGUAAAUCCGGUUCACUUUAACACUGAGGCGUGAUGACGAGGCACUACGGUGCUGAAGCAACAAAUGCCCUGCUUCCAGGAAAAGCCUCUAAGCAUCAGGUAACAUCAAAUCGUACCCCAAACCGACACAGGUGGUCAGGUAGAGAAUACCAAGGCGCUUGAGAGAACUCGGGUGAAGGAACUAGGCAAAAUGGUGCCGUAACUUCGGGAGAAGGCACGCUGACACGUAGGUGAAGUGAUUUACUCACGGAGCUGAAGUCAGUCGAAGAUACCAGCUGGCUGCAACUGUUUAUUAAAAACACAGCACUGUGCAAACACGAAAGUGGACGUAUACGGUGUGACGCCUGCCCGGUGCCGGAAGGUUAAUUGAUGGGGUCAGCGCAAGCGAAGCUCCUGAUCGAAGCCCCGGUAAACGGCGGCCGUAACUAUAACGGUCCUAAGGUAGCGAAAUUCCUUGUCGGGUAAGUUCCGACCUGCACGAAUGGCGUAAUGAUGGCCAGGCUGUCUCCACCCGAGACUCAGUGAAAUUGAACUCGCUGUGAAGAUGCAGUGUACCCGCGGCAAGACGGAAAGACCCCGUGAACCUUUACUAUAGCUUGACACUGAACAUUGAGCCUUGAUGUGUAGGAUAGGUGGGAGGCUUUGAAGUGUGGACGCCAGUCUGCAUGGAGCCGACCUUGAAAUACCACCCUUUAAUGUUUGAUGUUCUAACGUGGACCCGUGAUCCGGGUUGCGGACAGUGUCUGGUGGGUAGUUUGACUGGGGCGGUCUCCUCCUAAAGAGUAACGGAGGAGCACGAAGGUUGGCUAAUCCUGGUCGGACAUCAGGAGGUUAGUGCAAUGGCAUAAGCCAGCUUGACUGCGAGCGUGACGGCGCGAGCAGGUGCGAAAGCAGGUCAUAGUGAUCCGGUGGUUCUGAAUGGAAGGGCCAUCGCUCAACGGAUAAAAGGUACUCCGGGGAUAACAGGCUGAUACCGCCCAAGAGUUCAUAUCGACGGCGGUGUUUGGCACCUCGAUGUCGGCUCAUCACAUCCUGGGGCUGAAGUAGGUCCCAAGGGUAUGGCUGUUCGCCAUUUAAAGUGGUACGCGAGCUGGGUUUAGAACGUCGUGAGACAGUUCGGUCCCUAUCUGCCGUGGGCGCUGGAGAACUGAGGGGGGCUGCUCCUAGUACGAGAGGACCGGAGUGGACGCAUCACUGGUGUUCGGGUUGUCAUGCCAAUGGCACUGCCCGGUAGCUAAAUGCGGAAGAGAUAAGUGCUGAAAGCAUCUAAGCACGAAACUUGCCCCGAGAUGAGUUCUCCCUGAGACUUAGAGUCUCCUGAAGGAACGUUGAAGACGACGACGUUGAUAGGCCGGGUGUGUAAGCGCAGCGAUGCGUUGAGCUAACCGGUACUAAUGAACCGUGAGGCUUAACCUU
rnacentral:rRNA from 1 species